CUGCCAUUGUGCACACAAUGCUCACUGCCACAUCCCUGCUGCUGCUGCUCCUGGAGUUAUGGCAAAAGAUACCUUUUGAGGCAACAACACUAGGAACCUGUGUUGAAGGUUUAAUAAUACCCUUGACAUUUGUGAAAUACAUGAAUUGAGGAAUUGAGCGAUUUAAUUAUUUACCUCGUCUCAGUAGCCAUGUGAUUCUAGUUGUUCAAACAGCUAUCAAAGUGCCUGAAAACAGAUCUUUGAUUCAUAACUCUGGAGUCAACACUUGGAGGCAAAAAUAUAAUUACAUAAACAACAACAACAACAACAAAAACAAUCCUUGCAAGGAGAAGCCCAAUGGAUAGAUGCUCCUGCCUCAGGCUUCUGGUACAACAUCAAUAUUGGACCCUCACCCAAACUCCUCACGGAUAUCCUGCUGUUAUCCUGAGUCAUGAAGAUUCUCCAUCUCUGGUUCCACAGGAACAAUCAUUUCAUGUGCAGGUCAUAGAUUGGGUAAAUGUUAGGGUAAGCCAACUAAGCACUGGAUGUGGGCCUGGGUGGUAGCUGCGUUGGUCAUUCUGGGCCUCUGCUGGGACCACCUGCCUCAGGCAAGGGGCAGAGCCAGUUCUCCUGCAUCCAUGCCAUUGGGGUCAGUUCUCCUGUGAAUGUGGUGAGGGGUAAGACCAUUCCCCCAGGACUGGGGUCAUUGGGGCCAGCUCUCCCACUAUAGCACCCAGUGAGGGUCAGGGCCAAAUCUUCCAGGGCCAGUGAAGGUCAGACCCUCGGAUUUCAACAUGUAUGGUUCACAUGGUCCCUGGUGGUAAUGAUACCAGGCUAUGAACAUCAACACAGAUCCAAGUUGCAGCAGGACCAUGGAUACAGACAUGGUCCUUGGCAGAAGUUUUGUGGGAGUCAGUUGGAGUCCAACUCCGACCUGUAGAAGGGUUCUUGAAAGGAGGGGAGAGGAAUGAGGAAGUAUUAGGUAGAAAGAGACUAUAAGAAAGACAGAGACACAGGAUAGCUUGGGGAGGGCCCUGGGUCAAUACCCAGUCGCCUUGAGAUUUAUUCCAAAGGGCUUUGUAUACAAUGACAAGGGGUGAGGCAAAAGACCCCCCUUUCAAGAUCAAAGCACAACAUACAGCCGAGUGUAGACCCUUCAAAACACCUGGUUACCAUGCCUGUGACCAAAUCAUCCCAUUAUGCAGCCCUGCUGGGUAAAGCAAGCAUAGAUUCUCUAACCCUGAGUAAGGUCUUACUAGGGAGCUUCUGUGGGCCCCUACACAGCUUGGGCCUGGAUAUUAGCAUGGUUCUGGGGGGCAGUGCAGGCCGCUCAGAUCAUUAUAGCUCUGGUGACAGUAUGGUCCUCAGACAUCAACAUGGCCUCAGGUGGUGGACCAUUCCCCAGGCAUCCACAUGGCCUUUGGUGGUAACAGGAGCUAUGGACAGCAACACAGGCCCUGACUUCUGUAGGGACAAGGAUCCAGACAUGGCCUCCAGCAGCUCAGGCCUGGAUGAUACCAUGGUCUCAGGUGGCAGCACAGGCCACCCAGAUCUGCAUGACCCCAGCUGAUGGCAUGACCCUCAGACACCAACAUGGCCGCAAAUGAUGGCCUAGACUCUGGGCAUCUGUGUGGACUUUGGUGGCAACAUGGGCCAUGGACAUCAACUCAGACCUUGGCUGUAGUAACACCACAGACCCAGAUAUGGUCCUCAGCAUCAACCUGGUCCCAUGUCACCGUGGCCCUGGAGAGCAGCACAAGCCACUUAGAUCAUCAUGGCCUCUGUGGCAGUGUGGUCCUUGGUCACCAACAUUGGCAAAUACAUUCCAGUUGUCACCAAAGUACAAAGGUGUUUAUCUGAGAGCCAUCUGGGUUACAAUCAUGCAUGAAAUAGUAAUUGUCCCAUUUGUCAAUCUUAAGCUCUUAACUUUAUUCAGUGUAAUUUUGUCAGGCUUCUGUAUGCUCAAGUAUUCUCACUGGAAGCAGGGGAAUUGAAAGGAGGGACCACCCCAGGUGGCAGCCCAGACUAUGGCAUCCUCAUGGCCUUCGAUGGUAACAGGAAUUACAUACAUCAACACAGACCUUGGCACCAACGGGACCAGUGAUCCAGACAUGGCCCUAAGCAGUAGCUCGGGCCCAAACAUACCCAUAUCCCUGGGUGGUAGCACAGACCACCCACAUCAGCCUCUUCCUCACCCCCUUCACUUCUUCACUUAUGCCUCUCUCCACAACACAUGAAUAUCUCUUUCUCUCCCAUUUUCUCCACCAUAUAGUUGCUCAUAAUAAUGGCGCCUUGAGGCAUCAGGCAUGCCUAUGAGUGUUUUCCACCCAUCCAGGCUGAGCAGGACAGGGCAGGCCUCAACACGUGAUUUUUGAAGAAAACAAUCAUUUUGUCCUUAAUACCCUAUAUAUAUAUAUAGUUAACUAGUAUCAGUGUUUACCUAUACCACAAUAAAACCCCAGAGAAGUGACAAUGAUAUAGCUUACUAGCCUUAUUGAUAUUUUGUCAGUUUUACAUUUCCUUAUUUGCAUGGUGAUUUGCAUUUGUAGACAUUUAUGUAUUUUAUAAAUUUUUUCACAUAAGUUGGGACAUUUUAUAACUACCACCAUAGUCAAUAUAUUAUGCCAUUUAUGUAAGAAAAAUUCUUAUUGUUUAUUUAUAAAAAUAGUCAGUUUCUCAACCUAAUACUUCACAGUUAAUAUUUUUCUUCAAGCUUGAUCUUAAAAAUGUUAAAUACAUUUAAUCAUUCAGUCUGUGAAUUUUGGACAUUAACUUUUUUUGGUUUGAGAACUUCAUGCAUGAAGACAUGUAUUGGUCAAAUCCACCCCCACUCCCUCCAUCCAACUCUUCCCCUAUCCUUCCACCUUUCUCCUCCCAACUUCAUGCACUCUUUUGAAAAAGCCUUGAGUCCACUUACCGCUGCCACUAAGUGCAUAAGACAUUGAUUUAGUCAAAUGGCCUUUGAUGUCUACAAAUGUAUUAAAGUUAUGGGUAUUGAUGAUUUGGUCAUUUCCUGCUGUGUUUUGUGGCAAGUGUUGUACUUUGAUUUCUGUUGCUGUUUAUGGAUGUAGUGCAGUUUGCUUAGUCACUCACUGAAGCAUAUAUAGUUUGGGAGAUUCUGUUUAGUGCAACCACAAACAAAGCUACUAUGCUUAUUUCUGUAAGGAGUGAGUGUGGUGUGUGCAUAAUUUCCGUUUUUCUUUGUUAAACUUGGGUACAGUUGUGGGAUCUUAACUUAUUUAAAGGUUUGUUCCUUUAGUCAUAAAAUUCCAUUUUAUUCCUGGAGGAUGAUUCUGUGUAUACAGAACUUGAAUUUAACACUUCUUUUAUUUCACUUCAUACAUGGUUUCAUGUAGAAAAAUUGCUGAUACAUUAUUCUGUGUUGGUAGCUUUCAAAGUACUUUUAUUCAUCUUUCUGAAGUUUAAUUCUGUCAUUCUGACAUAGAUCACUGGCUUUUACCUUACUGUGGCUACCCUCAACUACUUAACUGUAUGUUUAUGAAUUCUACCAAAUUACAGACAUUUUCAGCUCUAACUUCUUUAGAUACCAUUUCAGUCCCACAGUCUUUUUUGUCUGAGAUCAUACAGAUAUAAAGGUUACUGCUUUUAUUAUAUUCUCUAAAAUCAUGUAGACACUAUUCUAUUUUUUCACACUUUUUCUUUGAUCAACAAAGAAAAUAUAUG